UUCCAUCCAUGUACCAGCCUCUUCCUUUUCCCAGUCAGUGGGGGCACCACGCCACUGACUGGCUGCAGCACAGGCCCCUCAUGCAGCAGCUCUGACCCCUGGGCCCGGGGAGGGGAGCCAAGCCCAGGGACAGGAGCCGGGCCCAGGGACAGGAGCCAGGCCCAGGGACAGGAGCCGGGCCCAGGGACAGGAGCCGGGCCCAGGGACAGGAGCCAGGCCCAGGGACAGGAGCCGGGCCCAGGGACGGGAACUGGGCCUGGAUGCAGCAGAGGCUCUGUGGGCAGCCAGGACCCAGCCUACAGCCAGGCACGGCUGGGCUGCUGCAAGGCCAGAGAGUGGCCCCAGGCUGGGUUGCUUUUAGUUCAGGUUUGGAGUACCAAAAUCAAGUCCUUGCUUCUGUUACCACCUGUAAACACCAGCUUCUGUUUCUGCAUCUCUGGCACAUGCCUCAGCCCGCUGGCAGGCAGAGGGAAUGUCCUGAGCAAGGCCAGUUGUCCCAGGGGCUUACAAUGGUGGCUCUCAGAGUGAUUGACCAUCCUGUCUCCCAAAGCACAUCGUCUCCUACGAGAACCAGGAAAGCCUGGAAGUGCCUCAGCCAUUUGCCUUAAGGAGAGAAGCCUCACCCUUCACCACACUUUCUAAUGCACAGACUUGCUCAUUUUCUGUGAAGAAUUAAAUAUCCCCAGUCCAGAAAUCUAGGCUGACUCACAUGGAAUGCAGGAGACCAAGCUUUUCUCACAGAUUAUCCUCUGCUAUGCUUCUAUAGCAAGCCUGAAAUAAAGAGAACUUGCCAGGACUCAGGGAUGUCAUGAACUCCGUCUCUAAAAGGCUUAUUAAAAACUACAAGGAAGAUUUAUGGGUUUGCUUUUCUUCAA